AUAUAGAGUAUCAGUUUAGUUUUCGUCCCGUCAAAGAUCGGCCGCAAAAUUUGAUUUUCCGGAGUUUAUUUUUAAAAUUUAUAAAAAUUAUUAGGUGUCAAUGACAAAAACGAAGAGAAAGUUCGCGAUAACCGACAAAUUUCUACCAAGGCUCGCUAAAAACCUGUGCACCAGAAAAGGCAGUCGUCGGGCGAACACCGGCAACCGUCUGGAACACGCGGUCCUCACCCACAUCCAGCACGUGCCGUAGAUUCCCUACCAACGCCCCCUUCUUCAUCUCAUCAUCCAUCUCCCUCCAACCGGCAUCAGCUAUAUUACCGUGAAAGAGAUAGAUGCUAGCAGUCAUGGCUCGAGGAGACGAAUGUAAAACUGCUUCCAAGGCUAACUACGCUUGCAAGUCGUUCGACGUAUCCGCCCCGUUGCAAAAACCAGCGUACCAGGCGCCGCAGAAAUACCAGGCCGCUAAGAAGCCGGAGCAGAAGAAAGACUACGGAUCCUGGGGCCCCAUCUACAAGGACAAGAAGACUUUCACAGACAUGCACCUCUGCUGAACUCCAACUCCGAGCCGGGUCAUCGCCAUUACUAACAUCGUCACAUAGUUCUAGAGCUACUACCAAAAAUGUAACAAAUGUCGACAAAUAAACUAUGUCAAAUUCUCGUGUAAUUGUGAUUCUUUUGUGACGAAUAGCUUUUUCUUAUUGUUUCCAAUGGUGUAGGUUUGCUUGAUAACUAACAUAAUAUCAUGUAUCAUUAUUAACAGAUUAAACAUCAUCAUCAUGUAAUCAGAUUUUUUGUUGCGGACCUGAAUCUUAAAAGAGUAAUCUGAAUUUGAGCACUGAAAUUAGAAAUGUGAAUUUAAAUUGAGUGACGGGCGAUUCGUGUGUAUGUAUGAAAGAGCGUAGUUUUGAAACAGAAUAAACUAAAUUUUUGUA